rnacentral:rRNA from 1 species
UACGUAGGGUGCAAGCGUUGUCCGGAAUUAUUGGGCGUAAAGGGUGCGUAGGUGGCUUGGUAAGUUUGAUGUGAAAUCUCCGGGCUUAACCCGGAAAUGGCAUUGAAUACUAUUGAGCUGGAGGUUUGGAGGGGGGACUGGAAUUCUCGGUGUAGCAGUGAAAUGCGUAGAUAUCGAGAGGAACACCAGUGGCGAAGGCGAGUCCCUGGACAACACCUGACACUGAGGCACGAAAGCUAGGGGAGCAAACAGG